rnacentral:rRNA from 1 species
UACGAAGGGUGCAAACGUUGCUCGGAAUUAUUGGGCGUAAAGGGUGCGUAGGCGGUUCGGUAAGUUUCGUGUGAAAUCUUCGGGCUCAACUCGAAGUCUGCGCGAGAUACUGCCGGGCUUGAGUGUGGGAGAGGUGAGUGGAAUUUCCGGUGUAGCGGUGAAAUGCGUAGAUAUCGGAAGGAACACCUGUGGCGAAAGCGGCUCACUGGACCAUAACUGACGCUGAGGCACGAAAGCUAGGGGAGCAAACAGG